GCCAUAGUUCAGUGGUACAGCAUCUGCCUUGCAUGCAGAAGGUCCCAGAUUCAAUCCCCAGCAUCUCCA